rnacentral:rRNA from 1 species
AUACGUAGGGGGCGAGCGUUAUCCGGAAUUACUGGGUGUAAAGGGGGAGCAGGCGGCAGCAAGGGUCUGUGGUGAAAGCCUGAAGCUUAACUUCAGUAAGCCAUAGAAACCAGGCAGCUAGAGUGCAGGAGAGGAUCGUGGAAUUCCAUGUGUAGCGGUGAAAUGCGUAGAUAUAUGGAGGAACACCAGUGGCGAAGGCGACGAUCUGGCCUGCAACUGACGCUCAGUCCCGAAAGCGUGGGGAGCAAAUAGGAUUAGAUACCCUAGUAGUCCACGCCGUAAACGAUGAGUACUAAGUGUUGGAUGUCAAAGUUCAGUGCUGCAGUUAACGCAAUAAGUACUCCGCCUGAGUAGUACGCCGGCAACGGUGAAACUCAAAUGAAUUGGCGGGG